GUCUUUGUGCAAAGAAACCCUUGGUAUGCCUGAAGACGAUCAUGAGCAAAAGUGCUGUGGAAUCAUAGAGAAAGUAAUGAAUGAACUUUUAUGCUCAGCCAGGAGGCAAAGAAGGAAAUGUGAGAAGACCUCCUGGAGAAGAUAGCAUUUUGAGCGGAGCCAUCCAGAAGAAGCACAAUACAAAAAAGUGGAGAAAGAAGCAACUGCAUUUCAUGCCAUGCAAAGAGCAUAGCAAAGGCACAGUGCGCACUGGAUCAGUGGCUCAGAGGAACAGCUGGCUUCUUGGGGCAAUUCCAAGGAGAAGAAGCAUGUGGAUUCUCAGAAAAAUGUUUCUACUGAUCUUCAUACCCAAAUUUGAAGGUAAUCAUAGAGAAAUCUCUAGGAAGAAUAAAGUACCAUAA
rnacentral:lncRNA from 1 species